rnacentral:rRNA from 1 species
GAUGAACGCUGACAGAAUGCUUAACACAUGCAAGUCGAUGGGGAAGUGGUGCUUGCACCAUGGUAACCAUGGCGGACGGGUGAGUAACGCGUAAGGAACUUACCUGCGGGACCGGGAUAACAGCAGGAAACUGCUGACAAGACCGGAUAAGGUCAUUAAGCUGCAUAGCUUAGUGAUGAAAGGAGACGCCUGCGGAGAGCCUUGCGUCCUAUUAGCUAGUUGGAGGGGUAACGGCCCACCAAGGCGAAGAUAGGUAGCCGGCCUGAGAGGGUGGACGGCCAAAAGGGGACUGAGAUCCCGCCCUUAAUCCUACGGGAGGCAGCAGUGGGGAAUAUUGGACAAUGGGGGCAACCCUGAUCCAGCAAUUCUGUGUGCACGAAGAAGGUUUUCGGAUUGUAAAGUGCUUUCAGCAGGGAAGAAGGAAGUGACGGUACCUGAAGAAGAAGCGACGGCUAAAUCCGUG